CCUGCACAAACAAACCUCGCUAAUUUACUACCUUAAGCCUAAACUCUGCUUAAAUUCCUCAGUAACUACACAGUUCAGCCAUAAGAACACAAGAAGGAUAGAAAUGAGAUUUUCGCCCACCCCGGCAGUUUUGGGGAACCAGCCAGUAGACCUUACUGGCCAGAAAACUGCUUUCCCCCUGAGGCUGCUGCAGCUAAGAGAUCCUGGACUUCUGACACAGAACCUGCUGAAAAGCCAGGCAUUGUGGGCGGGUCUGGUGAUACAGUGGAGAACAACACAUUUCCCUCACAAAUCUUAUGGAGUGGAGAAGAAGGCCAUUAACAAUAGCAUCACAGAUAUAAACACCUAAUUAUAAGUCGUGGCAGACCAACUGGUAAGAUGUGUGGGAACCAUUAGAAGACUCUUCAGGUGGAGAUGGAUAGCAUGGAAGAUACAAGUUCACUGAGGUCAAGAGUUUUACUUUUCUCUUUUUUUUUUUUGAGGAAGACUAGCACUGAACUAACAUCCACUGCCAAUCCUCCUCUUUUUUCUGCUGAGGAAGACUGGCCCUGAGCUAACAUCUGUGCCCAUCUUCCUCUACUUUAUGUAUGGGAUGUCUGCCACAGCAUGGCUUGACAAGUGGUGCGUAGGUCCGCACCCAGGAUCUGAACCAGCGAACCCUGGGCUGGCAAAGCAGAAUGUGAGAACUUAACCACUGCGCCACCAGGCCAGACCCAAAGGUUUUGUUUUUCUUUGCUUGUCCAGUGACUAGCAAAAGAUCCAGCACAAAACUAGCAUGAAGCAGAUACUUUUGAAGAAAAAAUCCAAAAGCAAGCAAGAGAAGAGUAAGAAGGAAGGAAGGAAAAAGGAAAGAAUGAGAGAGAGAAUGAGAAGGCAAAAGAGAAAGAGUAUAAGAUUAAAAAAAGAAAAGGAGAUACUGAAAGAAGAAAGAAGAAAGAAUGAGCAAAAAGAAAGAAGAAUAGAUGUAAAAGUUGCCUUAAGCUGAAAAAUAGUGAAAAAAUUUCUCUCAGUUUAAAAAGAAACUAUGCUUAAAUUAUUUACAGUCAGAAGCCAAUUUUGAAGUUUUAAAUUAUGUCAGACUUGCUACAGUUUACUGUUGUAGGAUUUAAGUAUUGCUGCUGUGAUUAAUAAGGGCAUUGUAUAAUGAGGUUUUAAAAUUUGCUUACAUAAUGUGAAUGUUCUGCAGACACUUGAUGCAAAGAUCAUGCGAAGUCUGAAAAGUUAAACAAUCAUAAUGAUGAUUAUUAAAUUUUCAUGUGAGGGUACAGUUCUCAAGGGACAUUCACUUACAUCAUUUCAUUUUUAGCCCUACCUCAAUUCUGAGUAGUAGCUUAUUUUGGCUCAAUUAGAGAGAUAAAGAAAGCAAACAAAGAGAGAGUGACUGUUCCAAAUUCAUGAACCUCAUAAGGAGCACAGAUUCAAGAC
rnacentral:lncRNA from 1 species